UAGUAAAUAUAUUGCACUAAUAAAUCACACAUCGUAAAUAUUUCUCAGGCAGGUUGGAAGUGGCCGUAGUCCGCCAAUAUCGUUAUGGAUUGGUGAUUACCACUGCAAUAUCAUAAUGACGAUAAUUAAACUAACCUCUUUAGACCAAUUUACUGUGGUAAUAUUAAUAAUGCAAUAUAUAACAAAUAUUCUCAAAAUUGCCAAACACAAAACGGUAAGUAAGUAACACCGGGAUUUACGUAGUUCCCCUCCAAUUCGGAGAGUACAUCUACGGCAGCAGCGAUAGCUAUGAGCACUUCUUCACUAUAACAAGGUAGCUACAAAGACGAUCCGAGCCGAUCCAGAAAUAGUGUCUCUCAAGUGUUUCCCAACCUCGAAACAACUAUCUCACUAUUUUUAUCGCUCAUAAGAAAGUAUUCCUACCACGGUAAAACAUUUACUGGGACUUUCUACCGCUCACCUAUCUACCCACAAUUGAGAAUUUCUCUCAAUUAAACAAAUGAAGAAAUUGAACUACUACACAACAGAAGAAAGAAUGCGUAGAAGGAAGAGAAUGAAGAAAUGAUGUGGGAUGAUGGAAAUGAGUGUAUGUACUCUCAUUUUAUAGCACUAAAGGGAGGGAGCAAAUUAAAUGGAAACAAAUGGGGAGCCCAUCUACAUAAACGGUGCCAUCAAUUCCCCCCUUUUUAUCAAUUGUUUAAUUAACCGGGAUCAAUAAUUCUCCCCCUCCCGGUUAAUUUCAACGCUCCGUCAUCCCUGCUGCUGAUCGACAAUAUUCAAACUUUUCUCUCAGAAUGCUCUUCGUGCGCAUAUCUAAUCCAUUCUCAUCAGUAUGCAUCUUCUCAAAUUGCAACUGCUUCGACUCCACCACAUCCUGAAUCCAAUGAUAUCGAACAUCGAUAUGCUUGGACCUAGAAUGAAACAUCAAAUUAUUUUCAAGGUGUAUGGCACUCUGACUAUAACAGAACAACCGCGAUCAUUCCUGUUGGAACCCAAGUUCACUUAAAAGUUUCUUCAUCCACAACAACUCCUUGCUAGCUUCAGUUGCGGCAAUGAACUCUGCUUCUUUAGUAGAAAGGGCUACACAUUUCUGUAGCCUUGACUACCAGGACACAGCUCCCCUUAAAAAUGUAAUCAGGUAUCCCGAAGUGGACUUCAGUGUAUCAACGUCACAUGCCAUGUCCGUAUCUAUGUAGCCGACAAGUACAUGAUUAGAAUCUCCAAAACAAAGGCACAGUUUGGAGGUACCUCAGAGGUGUCUGAGAAUCUACUUCACAGCUGCUAGUGUUCCUUUCCAGGAUUUGAAAGAAACCGGCUAACAACUCCGACUGCGUGAGCAAUAUCUGGCCGUGUACACACCGUAGCAUACAUCAAACUUCCCACCGUUGAAGCAUAUGUAAUUCUUUCCAUCUCCGUCUUCUCUGCAUCAGUAGACAGGCACUGUUUAUGCUAAGUUGAAAGUGAUUAGCAAGAGGACAACAAACCACUUUUGCACCAUCCAUGCUGAAUCACUGGAGUAGUUUAUCAAUGUACUUCUCCUGCGACAACUAGAUCUUCUUAGCAACUCUGUCUCGUGAAAUCUUCAAGCCAAGAGUCUGCUUCGCGGGCCCUAAGUCUUUCAUGGCAAAAGAAUUGCUCAACUCCUUCUUCAAGUUGAAGAUUCUGCAAACGUUCCGGCCAACAAUCAACAUGUCGUUGACAUAGAGCAGUAGGAUGAUGAAAUCAUCAUCAACGAUUUAUGUUGUGUUCUUCAUACUUGAUCUUGAACACCCACUUGUUCUUCAAAGCUCUCUUCCCCUUCAGCAACUUCACCAGCUCAAAUGUGUUGUUGUCGUGUAGGGAAUUCAUCUCAUCCUCCAUUGUCUCCAUCCAUUUCUGCUUGUGUUCAUCCUUCAUAGCUUCCUGGAAAUUAUCUGGUUCUCCCCGUAUGUGAAUAAAACAUAUUCAUUUGAAAAAUAUCUGGUAGAGGGUUGUACGACUCUGCCAGAUCUCGUUCGGGGUGGAGAACCUUCGGCCGUUGGUGGUUGAUCAUGAGAAUCAUCAUCAUCAUCAGGCUAAACGUCAAGGGGGACUUCAGGUUCAGCUACCUCCAGAUGAAUUUCUCCAACAAUAGGUGUUGGAGGCUCUAGCUCCUCAGGUGUUGAGCUAGCAUCAGUGAUAGGAGUAUCUCUCACAGCCUUCUAAAUAUCUUCAAUGGUCUCAUUCUCCAUGAAUACAUCAUCACGAAUCCUGAUGAGCUUCUUUUGGAUAGGGCCAAAGAAUCUGUAGCCAAAUUCAUCUUGAUUAUAUCUAGUAAAAAUACACGAUCGUGUCUUGGAAUCCAGUUUUGACCUCUUGUCCCUGAAAAUGUGAACAAAGGCCUUGCAACCAAACACUUGAAGAUGGUUGUACAAGACAUCUCUUCCCGACCAAAUCUUCUUUAGGGCUUCAAAAUUCAGUGGAACGCUAGGUGAAAGGUUCUAUACAUGCACUACAGCUAGUAGUGCUUCUCCCAGAAAUAGUGCGACAACUUCGAGUGUGAGAGUAAGCAUCUGACUCUCUCUAUCAAGGUUUUGUUCAUCCCCUCCGCCACAUAAUUUAGUUACGGAGUCUUGGGUGUGUAAACUAAUUUUGGAUUCUCUUCUCCUUACAAUAGGAAUCGAAUGGCCCAAUGUACUCUCCACCAUUGUUUGUACGCUGACACUUCAACUUCUGGCCAGUCUCCCUCUCCACCAAUGCAACAAAACGUUUGAAAAUGUUUAGCAACUAAUCCUUUGUCUUCAGAACAUAUACCCAUGUCUUUUGUGAGUUAUCAUUAAUGAAAGUCGCAAAGUAACAUGCGCCACUAAAUGAUUUAGAAUCCACUUCACAAAGAUCAGAGUGAGCCAGAUCUAGCACGUUUUUUGCUCUGGAAGGUAGAGAACUUCUGAAAGAAACUCGAUUUUGCUUUCCCGCUAGACAGCCGGCGCAUCUCUCUUGGUAGACAUGAUCGAGUACAAGUAUAGCCUUUUUCCUCGCUAGUUUUUCCAUGGAGUUCUCGCUCAUGUGGCCAAAGCGUUUGUGCCAUAACACGACGGUGUCAACAAUCUCCGUUGAGUUUGUAGAUUCUAGGGAGGUCUUGGCUUCUGUCACGUACAAUUUAGAUUGCUUCUUGCCUUUCGCCACUAUUAAUGCACCUUUUGUGAAUUUUCAUUGAUCGUUUUUGAAGGUAUGGCAAUAACCUUCUCCGUCUAGGUUGUCCACAGAAAUCAGAUUCAUACGUAUGUUCGGGACAUGUCUAACAUCUCAAAGCACAAGCCUUACUCCAUCCAUUGUCUCCAGGCUAACAUCUCCUUUGCCGAUGACCUUGGAGAGGUUGCCAUUUUCCAUCCUUACCAUAUCGUAGUUGCCUAGUGUGUAAGAUGACAAAAAUUCACGCCUGGACGUCACGUGAAUGGUGGCGCCGCUGUCAACCGGCCAAGUGGUCUCUUCAACGUAGACAAGCAUGACCUCCUCAACAUCAUUUGCACGGUCACUAUCAUCGCCUUUGUUUUGCCUAAGUUCUGGGCAAAACCGUCGGAUAUGCUCCUUCUGCUUGCAGUUGUGACAAGUGAUGUUUGCAUGCUUGUUGGACUUCCCUCGGCUCUUCCCUUGCUUCUUUGAGCCCCUCGACUGACUCCUUCCUCUCCCAUCCACAGCUACAAUGUCUAACUAUGAUGAAGAGGAAUAGGAACCUUGAGAUCUUCUCCUCAUCUCCUUGUUGAGAAUUUCAUUCUUGACAUCCUCCAUGGUGACAACACCAUAUGUGGCAGAGCUCAUGAUUGUGAUCUUCAAGGUUUCUCACGAUUCUGGUAGGGAAGUCAGAACCAAAAGAGUCGUCAUCUCAUCUUCCAGCUUUAAGUUCAUUCCCGACAACUAGUCAAUGAUCCCUUGAACAUCGCUCAAUUGAUCUGAAACGGAAGUGUCCUCUAUAUAUCUCAUCUACACCAUCUUCUUUAGAUAAAAGAGUUUGUUGUUGCAGGUUUUUGACGCCUAAAGCCCCUCCAACUUUUUCCAAAGCUUCAACGCAUCCGUCUCUCCAGCGAUGUGGUUGCGUAAGUUAUCAUAGACAUGGUGUCGAAUAUAACUACAUGUCUUCUCAUGCUUGCACUUCCAAUCCCCAUCACUCUUAGUGGCUGGGGUAGUUGACGAUGACAAUGAUUGAUCCAAAUCUUUGAUCAACAGGAGAUCCUUCAUCUUCCAGAUAUGAAAGGUUGUACCAUUCAAACUAACCAUCUUGCUUGGCGUUGCCUGAUGACAAUGAUUGAUCCAAAUCUUUGAUCAACAGGAGAUCCUUCAUCUUCCAGAUAUGAAAGGUUGUACCAUUCAAACUAACCAUCUUGCUUGGCGUUGCCUCCAUAGUGAACUAGGCUUUAAUACCACUGUUGGGGCACAUCGAACGAGAAUAGAGUAAAUAUAUUACACUAAUAUACCACACACCGUAAAUAUUUCCCAGGCAGGUUGGAAGUGGCGGUAGUCCGCCACACUUAAAAUCACUAUGGAUGGGUGAUUACCACCGUAAUAUGGUAAUGACGACAAUUAAGCACCUCCUUAGACCAUUUUACUUUGGUAAUAUUAAUAAUUCAAUAUACAACAAAUAUUCUCAAAAUUAUCAAGUACAAAACGGUAAGUAAAUAACAACGGGAUUUACGUAGUUCCCCUCCAAUGCGGAGAGUACAUCUACGACAGCAGUGACAGCUACAUGCACUUCUUAACUAUAACAAGGUAGCUACAAGACGAUCCGAGCCGAUCCAAAAAUAGUGUCUCUCAAGUGUUUCCCAACCCUGAAACAACUAUCUCACUAUUUUUAUCGCUCACAAGAAAGUAUUCUUACCACGAUAAAACAUUUACCAAGUCUUUCUACCACUCACCUAUCUACCCACAAUUGAGAAUUUCUCUCAAUUAAACAAAUGAAGAAAUUGAAC
rnacentral:lncRNA from 1 species